AGAACACAGGCGAACAGCAAUUCUAGACCCAAACCAAGAGCGGUACUGUUUCUGGAACAACAGAAGACAUUUUAUUCUAAUCCUGGACAAACUAUUUAAGGAUAUCAAAGAGUGUGGCGUUAUUUGUCCCUCAAUGGAGGCACCCCUGCAUACCUGACCUAUGUGCCUGCUGAGUUUUUGCAAUAAAGAAGUCUAACUACGUAUGAUCCGUCUAUCCUGUGGGCUACUUCAGAUUUGGUGGACUAUGAUGACCAGCGUUUUUUGUUUAAUAUUAACAACAUUUUGUAAUGUAAUCUUUUUUCAACCGUACUAACUAUGUAACUAUGUAAUGAG